UUCCUGUGAUGAGUUGCCAUGCUAAUACCGACGCAGCAGCAAAGAGCGUGUGUGCUCAAUGUUGGCGGCGGAUGAGUGUAGCCAACCUACUGAGGAUG
rnacentral:snoRNA from 1 species